AUUAAUGAAAUAUGCAACUUUCAACUUCAAUGACAGGCUUACGUUCAGAAUGUUUAUUUGCAAUGAGAUAUUCGCCGUUGAAAAGUUAAUCAACUUCAAAAAGAUGUUCACCUUUAAAGAGAUGUUCUUCAAUAAAAUUAUUAAUUAUGAAAUAUUUUUCAAUUCAAUGAGAGGUUUGCGUUCAAUGAAAUGUCCAUUUUCUAUGAAGUGUUUAACUACAAAGAGAUGUUCGUCGUUGAAGAGUUAUUCAACUUCAAAAAGAUGUUCACCUUCAAAGUUAUUCAACUUCAGCUAGAUGUUCUUCAAUGAAAUAUUCAGUUGCAAUAAGUGGUUCACGUUCAAUGAAAUGUCCAUCUUCUAUGAAAUGGUUAGUUGCAAUGAGAUGUUCGCCGUUGAAGAGUUAUUCAACUCAAAAAGAUGUUCACUUUCAAAGAGUUAUUCAACUUCAGAUAAAUGAUCUUUAAUGAAAUAUUCAACUUCAAUGAAGGGUGUAUGUUUAAUAAAAUGUCCAUCUUCUUUGAAAUGUUUACUAUAAUGAGAUGUUCGCCGUUGAAGAGUUAUUCAACUUGAAAAAGAUUUUCACCUUUAAGGAGAUAGUUAUCUUCAAAGAGUUGUACAACUUCAACUAGAUGUUCCUUAAUGAAAUAUUCGACUUCAAUAAGAGAAUGGCGUUCAAUGAAAUGUCCAUCUUCUAUGAAAUAUUUAACUGCAAUAAGAUGCUCACCGUUGAAGAGUUAUUCAACUUCAAAGAUUUAUUCAACUUCAACAAAAUUUUAAUGAGAUAUUGUAUUUCGUCUUUAAAAUUUACACUUUUAAAGCGUUCUGCAUCUUUAAAGAGUUAUUUAACUUCAAUGAGAUGUUCGCCUUCAAAAGGGAUGUCUAACUUCACUAAGUUGUUCGGCUUAGAAGCCAUGUUCAUCUUGAAUGUGAAGUUUAGCUUCAAUAAGAAUGUAAUGUUCACUUUAAAGGUUUUCCUACAUGAUUAGUUAUCGCACAUAGUUUUGAAUAAUGGAUAAAAAAGACUUUGACUCAACUCAACUUUGACUUUCUUAUACAACAUACUUUGAAAAAAGCGGCUUAAAAUUUAAAAAGAAAAUGGAUACAUCGAAUAGUAAACGUGAAAAUCCUUUGAAAUUUAAAUGAUUCUUCAAAGUCAACGAGUCUUUAGGAAUACAGUUGUAACUUCAUAUUAAGAAAGUUGUAAACUGAUGAAUAAGGAAGAUCUAAGAUAUCCUUGAACAAGUAUGAUGUAUAAGUUCAUGCAUAAAUUUGCUGCAUAGUAAGGAUACUUCAACUAGAAGGAGAAGGAAUAUUAAGGCGAUGUUAAACAGGAAUGAUGUAUAUGGAUGUGUAUACAUAUACAUAAUAUCUGUUUUAUAGUCUCCUCAAUUUGAGAAAAAUUUAUAAAGGUCUGACAGGAAUUGAUUGGAUUGUAAAACAGACCGAAAUAAAAAUUUCCAGGAAAUGAAAUUGAGCUGCUCUAAGAAAAAGGAAGGAACGAGAAGCUUCAGAAACUGUCUGGAACUUGAAAUAUGAACGUUUUAUGAGUCUUUAGAUGGGAAAAAGCUGAAGUUUUCAAGAAAAAAGGGGAACUUCAUCAAUUAUCUAGACCUUGAAUGGAGGCGUAUAUAUGGAACUUGAGAUGGAACAAAGUCCAGAGGUAAAAAAGAAACUCCAACAAUUAUCUGAACCAUAAAAGGAGGCAGAUGGAGCAAAGCUGAAAUUCACAGGUGAAAAUGGUAAUCCAAUAAUUAUCUGGAUCUUGAAAGGUGGCAGUUUUAUGGAACUUUAGAAGAAGCGAAUUUGAAAUCCACAGGUAAAAAAGGAACUUCAACAAUUAUCUAGCAGUUUUAUGGAACUUCAGAUAAAGAGAAGUUGAAAUUCUGAAAUGGAAAAGGAACUUCAACAAUUAUCUGGUCCUUAAAAGGUGGCAGUUUUAUGGAACUUUAGAUGAAGUAAAGCCGAACUUCUAUUAUGAUCAGUUGCUUAAAAUCUGGCAGUUUAUGGAAUUUCAGAUGAAACACUGCGGAAGAGCUGAUGAUUUUACUUCUGAUGCGGAAAAUAUGCUUUAAUGACUAUGAAUCUAAAACAGGAAAUUGGCCUUAAUUUUGCAUCUAUCAGACUAAAGUCAACAAGCAGAGAUUAAAAG